AUGAACGCUGGCGGCAUGCCUAACACAUGCAAGUCGAACGAGACCUUCGGGUCUAGUGGCGCACGGGUGCGUAACGCGUGGGAAUCUGCCCCUUGGUUCGGAAUAACUCAGAGAAAUUUGAGCUAAUACCGGAUAAUGACGUAAGUCCAAAGAUUUAUCGCCUAGGGAUGAGCCCGCGUAGGAUUAGCUAGUUGGUGGGGUAAAAGCCUACCAAGGCGACGAUCCUUAGCUGGUCUGAGAGGAUGAUCAGCCACACUGGGACUGAGACACGGCCCAGACUCCUACGGGAGGCAGCAGUGGGGAAUAUUGGACAAUGGGCGAAAGCCUGAUCCAGCAAUGCCGCGUGAGUGAUGAAGGCCUUAGGGUUGUAAAGCUCUUUUACCCGGGAAGAUAAUGACUGUACCGGGAGAAUAAGCCCCGGCUAACUCCGUGCCAGCCGCCGCGGUAAUU
rnacentral:rRNA from 1 species